GUCGCGGGAAGACCCGCCCGGGGGCCGCGGCCGGAGGGGGCUCCGGCUCGCCAAUCCCAGGUUGGCGCAGCUGACCCGCCCGCCCUUCUCCCCUCCGGCGCAGCCCCGCCUGCCCGCCCGCCCGGGAAGGGCGCCACAGACCCGCCGCCGCCGCCGCCGCCGCCGUCGCACCAUGGCCGAGCCGGCCGCGCCGCCGGAGGCGCCGUGCGCCGUGCAGUGCCGCCUGCAGUACCUGGAGGACGCGGACCCCUUCUGCUGCGCCGCCUUCCCCGAGCCGCGUCGCCCGCCCGGCUUGCCCGUGGCCGAGGCGCUGCCGCUGGCCGCCCAGCUGCCCGCCUUCCUCCGCCUGCUAGGCGCGCCGCUGCGGCUGGAGGAUUGUGCCUUGCAAGUGCUGCCUUCUGGACACUACUUGGACCUGGAACUUUCACUGUUGGAGCAGAAGGACGAGCUGGAGGUCUUCUACGAAGACAUCAGCAAAGGGAGGCGGCCAAUCCUGCUUCUGCGCACGCAGCUCUCGGUCCGAGUGCACGCCAUCAUCGAGAAGCUGUACCGUUCCAAGGGUCCGGAGCUGAGGCGUUCCCUCUUCUCCCUCAAGCAGCUUUUCCAGGAUGACAAGGACCUGGUGCCCGAGUUUGUGAACUCCGAAGGACUGACGUGUCUCGUCUCAGUGGGAGCAGAAGCUGACCAGAACUACCAGAAUUACAUCCUGCGGGCUCUCAGCCAGAUCAUGCUCUUUGUGGAUGGAAUGAUGGGGGUGAUCCAGCACCCAGAGACCGUGAGGUGGCUCUACACCCUGACGGGCAGCCCGUACCGCCUUGUGGUGAAGACGGCCCUGAAGUUGCUCCUGGUCUUUGUGGAGUUCACAGAGUCCAAUGCCCACCUGCUGAUCCAGGCUGUGGUGACUGUGGAGCAGGGCAGAGGGGGGGUUCCGUGGUCUCGCCUUGUGGCCAUCCUGGAGCAGAAGAGCGGGGCUGAUACUGAGCUCCAGGUGUUUGCAAUGACACUCAUCAACAAGACGUUGGCUGCCCUCCCUGACCAGGACUCCUUCUACGACGUGACAGAUUGUCUGGAGCAGCAGGGCAUGGAGCAGCUCAUCCAGGCGCACCUGGCCAGCAAGGGCACGGACCCGGACCUGAGGCAGCAACUUGCCCUCUAUGAGAAUGCCCUGAAGGAGGAGGAUGAGCCGGAAGAGCCUCUGCCGGGCACCCGUGCCAAGGAGCGGCGGAGAGGGGACGAGGGCCGGCAGGGGGCCCGGCGCUCUUUCCUCGCUGCUGAAGCCCAGGAGGAGAACAAAGGUGUUCCUGCUGCUGCAGACACCUUUCCCAACCCUCAGGAGACUCUGGACCUGGAGGGAGGCAGCUGUGAGCAGCUGCCCAGCCCGAGCGCCUCCUGCAUACAGCUCUCUGUGCUGCUGGCCCCCGUGGAAGGACCACAGCUGGCUGGCCUGGGCGAGAGGAGCGUUUUCAAACUUCAUGAAACUGCCUCUGCUUGGCAAGAGGAAGCCCCCCCGGUAUGUGGGGACAAGCCCAUUCUGAGGCACUUUGAAGCCCGCUUUCUAGAAAACCUGGUUGCCUCCCAGAAAGAGAAGAUCAGCGCCAUCAGCCGUGGGCGAGCAGAAGUUCUUGGUGAAGCUGUUUCCAGCACUGAGCAAGCGGCCCCAGGGAGGUGGAGUGAAGGACAAGAUGGAAACACCAAAUGGAAAGAGCCCAGCUCAGAGCCUGGUUUGGAUCAUGAGGCAGGCAGGGAAAGCACCUCCUCCAAGGAUGCCUCUCCAAGCCACCCCUUCAACACUUCCUGUGUCGUGGGCCCAGAUCCAGAAUGUGCCCCCUGUGGCAUCAGUGGGGCUCUCAAGAGCAGAAAACUUAUGCUUGACAUACUGUUCACUAAUAAGAGCCCACCAGGCCUGGAGAGGACGUUGCUCUUUGCGAGAGAUCAAGGCACGGAAGAGAAGGGGAAGAUUCCGCACCAGGAAGAGGAGGGCCAGGAGAGGAUGGGGCAACAGAUUGACUCUCAGGCCCUCCCCUUGCAAAGCCAGUUCAGUGUGGAAGCUGAAACCAGCCUGAAGAGUCUGGAAAGGACCCAAGUGACGGGGGGUCCACCGGGGCCUCGUUCUCAACCUCUGAAGAUCCAGGAUCUUGACUUUUCAGACCUGUGUGAGGAAGAGGAUUUUGAUGUACAAGAAGCAAAGGUGGCCGAGACAGCCUUGCCCCACAUGGCUUUGGGAGCCGGUGAGGGCCUGGCUCCUCCCCUGAUUCCUGGUUGUGCUCCACCUCCUCCGGCUCCUCCUCCCCCAGCUGGCAUACCUGGUCCCCCUCCUCCCCCCCCAUUCAGCAGCCCCUUUCCUGGGGGAAAAGCCAGCUCCCCUGCCAAGAAAAAGAAGACCGUCAAGCUCUUCUGGAGCGAGCUGAAAGACAUAGAUGGCCCUGCCAGGGAAAGUUGGUUUGGGCAGGCUACUCUGUGGGCCUCCCUGGAGAAGGUCGAGGUUGACUCUGCCAAGUUGGAACAUCUCUUUGAGUCCCGGGCAAAGGAGAUUCCGAGUUCCAAGAAAGCUGUGGACGGAAGGAAGCUGGUCGUGGUCCUGGAUCCCAAGAGGAGCAAUGCCAUCAAUAUUGGCUUGACGGUGUUGCCUCCCAUCCAUGUCAUCAAGGCGGCCAUUCUCAGCUUCGAUGAGUUUGCAAUCAAUAAGGAAGGGAUUGAGAAAAUAUUGACCAUGGUUCCCACAGAGGAGGAGAAGCAGAAGAUCCAGGAGGCCCAACUGGCAAACCCGAAUCUCCCUCUGGGGUCAGCCGAGCAAUUCCUGCUCACGCUCUCCUCCAUUGCAGAGCUCCCAGCUCGCCUCCAGUUGUGGGCUUUCAAGCUGGACUACGAAGCCCUGGAGAAGGAAAUUGUAGAGCCCCUCUUCGAUCUGAAGCUGGGCAUGGAGCAGCUAACCAAAAACCAGACCUUCAGGCGUAUUCUGGCUACCCUUCUGGCCAUGGGCAACCUCCUGAAUGGCUCCCAGAGUCGAGGGUUUGAGCUCAGCUACCUGGCCAAAGUGUCAGAGGUAAAAGACACCGUCCACCGGCAAAGCCUCCUGUACCACCUGUGCCACUUUGUGGUAGUGGAGUUCCCAACCACCACAGACCUCUACUCAGAGAUUGCUGCCCUCACUCGGUGUGCCAAGGUGGAUUUUGAGGAGCUGGCAGAAAGUGUCCUGCAGCUGGAACGGCGAUGCAAAGCCUCUUGGGAGCACCUGAAGGCCAUUGCAAGACACGAUUGCAAGCCAGCACUCAAGAACAAGCUGCUGGAUUUUCUACAGGCCAGCACAGAGAAGAUUGGCCUCCUUAAGAUCAUCCACCGGCGGGUGUUGAACAGGUUCCACUCCUUUCUCCUGUUUCUGGGCUACGACGCACACUCAGCACAGAACAUGAGGGUUACCAGCUUCUGCCGGCUUUUGCGGGAGUUUGCUCUGGAGUACCAUACCUGCCGAGAGCGUGUCCUGCAGCAGCAGAAGAAGCGGGCAGCCUGUCGGGAGAGGAACAAGACACGGGGCAGGAUGAUUACUGAGAUGGAGAAGUUUGCUGUGGCCAGCAAGACCGAAGACGGCUCAGCUCCUCCUGCUGUGUUGUCAGCCAGCCCGGAGCAAAAGGAAGAAGCCAGCCAUAAAGACUUGACCAGCUUGCUUGUCUCCCCAGCAGAAAGCCCUGGCCACCGCUCUCGCGCCAGUAGAGGAGUUUUCCCAUUUAGGUGCUGGGAAGCAAAGUCCCGCUGGUGGGUCCACCCCCCAGGAGGAAGCUGCUGGCUCUCCUGAGGAUGCUUCUGAGGAGAUCAUGAACCGCUUGGUCAAGUCUGUGACCCAGAGGUCUCCUGCACGCUCAGGCCCAGCGAAGGAGCGCCGGCGAUCACGCGGGAACAGGAAGUCCUUGAGGCGGACCCUGAAGAGCGGCCUGAAUGAGGAGCUGGUGCAGGCCUUGGGCCUGGCGUCCUCGGCCAGCGUGUCCGUGUGAGGAGCCCCCAAGGCCGUGCUGAGCGGGAAGAAGCAGGAGGGGGAACUGGAGAGGCUCUUCUCUUUGGGAGGCUGCCUCCCUUCACCAAGAGGGGUGGGGGGGGCAGAUGCCCAGGCAGUCCCCUCCCCGCUGGGCAGAGUCCUGUUUGGCCCCUUGUGCCUUGAGGAGCAAGCUUCGCUUGGCCAGUGUGUUGGCCUGUGUGCUUGUGUGGAUGCUCCUGCUCAGGGUUGGGGAGCUGAAGCCUCUGUUUCAGGUGUCUCCCCAGGGGGUGGGUGCUGUUCCCCUCCCCCCCAGCCAUGUCCUGAAAUGGGAAGGGUAGGCCUAGUGGAGAGAAGGCCGGAGAGAUGGCCUCUUGGCACUCCAAAGUCCCAGAAGGAGCGGCUCUCUCUGCCCAGCCCCUCUGCUGCUGCUGCUGCUGCUGCUGCCUCCGCCCAUGGGUGAGCCCCCGAGGGCUGCUUGGCCCUUCCUGGGGUUCAGUGUUAGAAAUGAGAAGUAAAAGCUGUUCUUGCAAGUCUGGCAAAACAGUCGUGUUCCUCUUUUCCUACUGUCUGGGGGACUCCAGAGAAGAAGAGGCUGUGAGAGCUGAAGGGGGCUUUGCCUGCUUCUGGGGGGCCUUUCUCCGAGGGUCUUCAGGGUACCGGCUCUCAGGCCAGGCAGAGGAGCCAGCGCGGCACAGACUCUGCUCUGCAACAGACUCUGCCGUGGCCCAGGUCUCCGGAGCCAGUGGCACCCGUGGCAUUUUGGAGAGGUUCAGGAAGACAGAUUCUCCACAAAUGCAUACAAUUGCUUGGGUGGAAAGGAGUGGAAAGCUGUCAGAGAAAAUAAAAGACCUGAAAUAAGAAAGGAAAGGGGGCUGUAAGGGUUCCCCCUCCUCGCUCCCUCUUUGCUCCGCUUGGUCUCGGUCAACCUCCUGGCUCAACCACCUGGGCCGGCUGACGUUUGUUCUUUAAGCUUCUCACAUUCUGGUUCUGAGAAAGUCUCAAUGAAAAGCCACUUUCUGCUCUUCCUCCUGACUUGUUCACCCUUCACAUGUUGGUUUUGCCAUUGGAUUCCCAGGCGCUUAGCUCUCUCUGCCACCAAAGAGCCCCUGCGGUGCUGGGGGCCCCUCCGUGUUCGGCCUGCAUUCAUCGCACCUUCAGUCUGCAGUCUCUUGUGUUAUUGUGUGUGUGCACACACACUUUUAAGGACCCGUUCCAACCCCAUUCAACUUCACCCUUUGCUACCAAGGGAAGACAUUUCAUUAUAAAUUCAUUAUUUAUUUUUUAACUUCCACCUCCCUGCAGUAUAAUGAAGUGGACCGAAGGACACAGAGCCACUUCUGCUUUGCCUUUUGGGGCAAUGGUCCUCCUGCCACCACCAUCUUUGCCAACAUUGUGGGUCUUAACUCCCCCAUCCAUCUUCCUGUCUUCAGUAAACGUCCUUCAGGGAUAUAUACAUUCAUCUUGUUUUUCACCAUUUAUGUAUAAAUUGUUCAUUCCUUUUUGUCUAUUAAAUAAGGCUGCCUUGGUUGUUCAUAA